rnacentral:rRNA from 1 species
GUCUACAGCCAUGCUACCCUGAACAAGCCAGACCCUGGUAUGAUCUCGGGAAGCAAGAUAAGCAGGGUGGGGCGUGGUUAGUACUUGGAUGGGAGACCAGGUGCUGUAGGCG